UGCAGAAUCCCGUGAACCAUCGAGUCUUUGAACGCAAGUUGCGCCCGAAGCCAUUAGGUUGAGGGCACGCCUGCCUGGGUGUCA
rnacentral:rRNA from 1 species